CUUACCUCUCUUAAGUUAUAAGGACGAGUCACAAAUUCGCUAGGUGGCAGCAGUCGAAUUUAGAAUUAAAUUAAAAAUUUUAAUUCUAUUUAUGCUACGAGUUGCUCCUCUUUCGACAAGAGAUGGCUCUGUUUUGUAACUUAAGAGAGUUAUAACUUAAGAUUUUGGCUCCUGAUAAACUUUAAUUUAAUUAACUUUACCUGUGAAUUUAAAAUUAAAUUUUGUGUUAUUAUUGUUCAUCUUAUCAUACGGACCAAGUUGAUACCAAAAUCGAACACUUGGAUUCAAGACUUACUGAUUAAUACUCAUUUGUUACGGACCGUUUUCAGCAAGCCUCCGAGGAAUAUGUUAAAUUUUAAUUGACAUACUAAACAAAUAAUUUUGUUACUUUAUUAUAAAUAUUAAUAAUCUAUUGUUAUUAUA